rnacentral:rRNA from 1 species
CCUACGGGUGGCAGCAGUAGGGAAUAUUGCUCAAUGGGCGAAACCCUGAAGCAGCAACGCCGCGUGGAGGAUGACGGUUUUAGGAUUGUAAACUUCUUUUGUUAGAGAAGAUUAUGAUGGUAUCUAACGAAUAAGCACCGGCUAAUGCCGUGCCAGCAGCCGCGGUAAUACGGAGGGUGCAAGCGUGACUCGGAAUCACUGGGCGUAAAGAGUGCGUAGGCGGGGUGAUAAGUCAGAUGUGAAAGCCUGUAGCUUAACUACAGAACUGCAUUUGAAACUGGUUGUCUGGAGUGUGGGAGAGGUAGGUGGAAUUCUUGGUGUAGGGGUGAAAUGCGUAGAGAUCAAGAAGAAUACUCAUGGCGAAGGCGACCUGCUGGAA